AUUGAACGCUGGCGGCAGGCCUAACACAUGCAAGUCGAGCGAGCGGCGGACGGGUGAGUAAUGUAUGGGGACUGCCCGAUAGAGGGGGAUAACUUCGGGAAACGGUGGAUAAUCCCGCAUACUAACGGAUAAACAAUAUGGGCGUAGCGAGUAGGUGGGGUAAAGGCACCCCUAGGCGACGAUCUCUAGCUGGUCUGAGAGGAUGAUCAGCCACACUGGGACUGCGACACGGCCCAGACUCCGACGGAGGCAGCAGUGGGGAAUAUUGCACAAUGGGCGCAAGCCUGAUGCAGCCAUGCCGCGUGUAUGAAGAAGGCCUUAGGGUUGUAAAGUACUUUCAGCGGGGAGGCGUUACCCGCAGAAGAAGCACCGGCUAACUCCGUGCCAGCAGCCGCGGUAAUUC
rnacentral:rRNA from 1 species